AUGGCCGAUGCUGUCUGGCAGCGUCUCCGUGUGGACAGGCGGGUCCCUCCCAGUGGAAAGGAGCCAUUCCCACGGCGGUUAAGGGACAAGCAGGUUGAGAAGAAGGUGCCCCAGCCUGGAUGCCCGUGGUCCCAGGAGAUGAAAUUACCCCUGGAGAAGUGUCUUAGGGACGUCCGCCCAGCACAAAGCUCGUUCACCAUCCUUAAAGACCACAUCAGGACUAUAGGCUUAAAAGCAAAGUUUAUUCCUAAAGUUGCCUGCAAAAUAGCUGUACCUAUUUGCCUUUUCACCUAAAGCAGCUUUAGGAUGCAAAUGCACACCAGGACCCCCUCAGUUUUUUGGAGCAGAAGAGCCACGUUUUCCCCUUGGCUGUUACACAUUCGCAAGAAGCGGAAUAACCGUGACUAUCUGAGUAUGCAACCCCCCCACCAAACCCCAGCAGGGACCAAGGAAAAUGCAUCCGAAAAAAGCUUCCCUUUUCCUUUCCUUCUCAGGGAAUCGAUGACUCAGUGUCACUAACGGGACAUCACACAGUUAAACGUGCAACACGCCAUGCUGCUUUACGGCGACGUCGUUUCUGCGUCUUUAGAAAAAGCACCCCACGCGCUCAUUUUCACUGCUUAAGGUUAGAAAGAUGGCGUUACCGUUGGCGGGAAGGUAGGUGAAACGCUGGUACUGGCUUCGCUUUCUCUUCCCGUUGCAGACAUAGAAACUCACGUGAACAGGGCUGGUUAUCCUCUGAUUCCGAAACGGCGGGAUCUCAACCACCAGAGAAUUCUAGAGGAGAAGGGCACACAGGAGGCACAAUUAGCACCAGGCAGGUGACGGCUGCCGCGCCACGGCGGCCACACAGCAACCCUGCGUUUCCAUGGCGGUGCGGGACGCUGUGACCGUAAACUCCUGACUGGCCACCUGGGCGUCCAGAAGCAGCCGACGACAGCCCUGGACGCUCUGUGCCACCUGCACUUGUGUGUGGACACACACAGGAAAGGGAUGCCCUUGGCUUCUUGCACACCUAGGAGCCGAGAGGCUUCCUCAGAGCAGUGGAGCAAACAGGACCAACCUCAAGACUGAAAUCUUGUCACUUAAGGGAAAGAGAAGAUGUGAACAGAACUGGGACCUGAGGUGCCUGAGGGUGGAGGCUGCCCGGGGCCACCUGGGCAAGGGGCCUGGCAGGGAUGCAAAAGGCUCUGCCUACUCCGAUGCCAAAGGGUUGGUGACCUUCAGAAAACGACCCAAGGCCCCAGUGCCGGCCGCUGUGUGAUGGAAGUGCUCGGUGGCCCCGCACCUGCUCAGACGGCUGCAGUGAAACCCGGAGGAGCAGGUGCAUCCUGGAGACUCGGUCUCCGGGGAAGGCCUGUUUGUCACAUUUGAUGAUGGCCGAGGCCCUCAACCAGACCCCAAAUUCAUUCCAGCUGAGGAAGAGGAGGUGGACCCUGACCCCCGCAGACCCUGGGGUGGGAACAGCCAAGGGCACGGAGGCACACACAGCAGCGGGCGGCAUGUGGAGGCUGCCGUUACUUUUUCAUGUUUUUGUAUAAGAGUCAGCAGCAUGUUUACAAAACUCAUGCUCUCUCAAGUACACACACGAAACGCGAGCCAUGGGGUGUGGCACUGUUCACAGAGGUCGGGGCUGGGUGCGGGACUGGGAUACAGAGAUCCCGACCGCUUGCUCAGGCCCCAGCAUUACUUGGGGCUCUAAUGACCCUAAAUGACUGGGGCGAUGCGGGCAUCCCUGCUGAGGGCGAUACUUGGUAUCUGGGGAGAGGCUUGGUGGGAGUCGCAUCUAUAAAGUUUAAUUUUUAUAAUCAUAUGACUUAGUUUAACAAGCAGGAGAAAAAUCCAUUGUAUUACUUCUUUUGUUAAAGUAAUUAAUUAUAGCACAGCACCUAGCUUAA